UACGUAGGGUGCAAGCGUUGUCCGGAAUUAUUGGGCGUAAAGAGCUCGUAGGCGGUUUGUCGCGUCGAAUGUGAAAACCCAGGGCUCAACCCCGGGCCUGCAGUCGAUACGGGCAGACUAGAGUGCGGUAGGGGAGACUGGAAUUCCUGGUGUAGCGGUGAAAUGCGCAGAUAUCAGGAGGAACACCGGUGGCGAAGGCGGGUCUCUGGGCCGUAACUGACGCUGAGGAGCGAAAGCGUGGGGAGCGAACAGG
rnacentral:rRNA from 1 species